CAUGGCUCAGGACGAACGCUGGCGGCGUGCUUAACACAUGCAAGUCGAACGGAGCGAAUGAAAGCUUGCUUUUAUGAGCUUAGUGGCAAACGGGUGAGUAACACGUAGGCAACCUGCCGACAGGAUGGGGACAACAUUCCGAAAGGAAUGCUAAUACCGAAUGAAGUCGAGGGAGGGCAUCCUCCUUCGAUGAAAGAUGGCCUCUAUUUAUAAGCUAUCACCUGUCGAUGGGCCUGCGUCUGAUUAGCUAGUUGGUGAGGUAACGGCUCACCAAGGCGACGAUCAGUAGCCGGUCUGAGAGGAUGAACGGCCACAUUGGGACUGAGACACGGCCCAGACUCCUACGG
rnacentral:rRNA from 1 species